AUAGGUUUAUUACUAUUGUAAAUCUAUAUCAGUCAUCACAAGUCAAUGAUGAAACCUUUAACACUAAAUCACAAACAAGGCAAACCAAUGCUGCAAAUUACAUGCCUGAUGCAAACAAAUGUAAACAAAUGCAUCUUAAUUGUUUGUUGCUAAUAAAAUUAUAUAUCCAAUCAUAGAGAGCGGUGAGAGCGGUGAGAGCGGUGUCAAGCCAAAAUCAGAAGUAGUUAUGUUUUACAACACCAAGAAACGGCCUUGUGUUUUAAAAGAUUUCUUUUUCUACUGCUGUUCACUGGAACACCCCUGCGCACCUGGAAGUUUCUUGGUGAGUUAUUUAAAGGCACUUGGAGAAAUCCUGGCUUUCGGCCUGUUCCUGCUGCUUGUGUUUUUCCUGAUGAUGUCAUACACGGUUGUCUAUACAGUAGCGCCUAUCAACCAGACUACCAUAACCUUUUUGACGUGUUCCUUACCUCUGAUAGCCAAAGCUUUUUUCCGGAAAGAAGAUUAUUUUGAAGUUAACUAUGAAAGUUUUCUUGAAGAGCUCUGUAAACCGGAUCAAAUGAAAAAGUUUUAUGAACGGAAAACAAUCAAGUUAUACGGAUCUACGUGGUGUAAAUGUUGUACAUUGUGUAGAUAUACAUGGUGUACUUGUUGCUGCGCUAGGAGCAGUGUAACGGAAGAAACACGUUUAAUACAACUAGCUUAAAGGAAUCUUGGAUACUAAAAUAUACUUGAAUCCUUGCGUGCACUGGUAGGGCUAUAUAGAAACACGUAUACAAUCCCUGCUUCAUGCCAUAGCGGAUUAAAGCUUGAUUUUUACAUUGAUGAUCAUUGCAUUUGUAUUUUACGGACAUUGCUGGGAGGCUGAAUUUUUGUAACAAUAUUGUUAGGGAGCAGAUGCAGAAACUAAAAAUAGACAGUUAAAAUUGUUAUAUUGUUGUAUACCGCUGUAACUGCGGUAUGUCUGCAGAAGUAAAAAUUGUAAUAUUACCUGUAUGCCUGUUAAAAUUUAUAGCUGAACACACUCUACCGUCAAACAGCCUUAUAAACAGGUUUACUGUUAUAAUCUUUUUUAAAACUCUCCUAACAAACUGAGUUCAUUUUGUUUUUACUUUUUAAUUACAACUUUUUUUAAACAUUUGCAAUUGAUAUUGCAAUAAAAUACUUUUAAAUAUUAUAGUAAGCUACGCUCUUAUGCUAUUAAUAUUACUUUAAGGAUGAAUGUUUUAUUUUAUUUCAUCAUAUUUAAAAUUAUUGUAUGGUUCAUUUCUUUUGUUGUUGCCCUAAAGUCAAAGAGUCCAUUGAUUUACACAUUUGAAUGGAGGAAAAUAAAUACUACUCAUUACAGACAGUGUCGACAGCAUAAUCAUUUUUACACAUAAAUAUAAGACGAAAACAGCACUUUUAUUGAGAUUUAAUAAUUCGGUAAUGACAAAAUAACAAAUAAUUUAUUUCAUAGUGGACAUUGUUCUUAAACAGAAUGGACGUGGACUUAGCAUAGCUUAGCAUAAAAUGUAGAUCAAGCAUUGAAAUAUUUGACAUUAAUUUUGCUUACCUAGAUCUUUAAAAUGUAGUUUGUAUGUUUAUAUAUCAUGGGGAUGGUGUAUUUUUUAACAAAAAAAUUUUAGUCUAGCUUUUGUCUCACCAUAAAUGUGCCUGCAAUGUUUUUAUAGAUACAUAAUAUAUAAUUUUACAUUUUUCAUACAUAUUUAAGUACCAUAGAAAAAGAAUUUAGCCAAUGUGUGUUCUAAAUUUUUUAAAUUUAUUUCUAAAACAACUGAAUAAAUACCGAAAAACAAGAGUACCGCCAUACGUGAAGUAGCUAAAACAAUUUUUAAAAAAAAAUUACAUUGCUUAAACCUGGUGUCUCACCCACACUUUUCACUUUCGGAUGCUGUUGCUUGUUGUUGACUUGUGAUUUUUAUCAAUGAUCUUUGUGCAUCAUGGCCAAUUAUACAUUGAAAUGUGAAAAAUUGCAUUUUUUUUCCAUAUUUGUUUUAUCUAUAUCCUCCCAACUUUUAUCUGAUAUAUUGAGUCUUGACAUAAUAGGUUACAGAAACAAAUAAAUUAACUCUUCUUCCUCUGCCCUAUUAACUCCACCCUUCCCAUAAACUUUUGUUUUAAUUAAGAACCUUCUUUUUAUUGCAUUACAGACAUUUGGUCAAAGUAGGAACUUAAUCUUUUUGAAACUUAGCCAAAUGUCAAGUUGUUUAUCUUUGUUAUGUAAAUUUAAUUUUUUUUUUUCAUUUUUAUAUUAUCAGCAUG